rnacentral:rRNA from 1 species
GAUGAACGCUAGCGGCAGGCUUAACACAUGCAAGUCGAGGGGUAUAGGUUUUCGGACCUAGAGACCGGCGCACGGGUGCGUAACGCGUAUGCAAUCUACCUUUCACAGGGGGAUAGCCUUUCGAAAGGGAGAUUAAUACCGCAUAAGACAGUAGCUGGGCAUCCAGCAGCUGUUAAAGAUUUAUCGAUGUAAGCUGGGCAUGCGUCCAAUUAGCUAGUUAGUGAGGUAACGGCUCACCAAGGCAAUGAUUGGUAGGGGAACUGAGAGGUCAAUCCCCCACACUGGCACUGAGAUACGGGCCAGACUCCUACGGGAGGCAGCAGUAGGGAAUAUUGGGCAAUGGACGCAAGUCUGACCCAGCCAUGCCGCGUGCAGGAUGAAGGCGUUAUGCGUUGUAAACUGCUUUUAUACAGGAAGAAACGACUAUUGCGAGAGGCAUUGACGGUACUGUAUGAAUAAGCACCGGCUAACUCCGUGCCAGCAGCCGCCGUAACAC